UCCGUAGGUGGAUAAUUAAGUCAGAGGUGAAAUCCUGCAGCUCAACUGUAGAAUUGCCUUUGAUACUGGUUAUCUUGAGUUAUUAUGAAGUAGUUAGAAUAUGUAGUGUAGCGGUGAAAUGCAUAGAUAUUACAUAGAAUACCAAUUGCGAAGGCAGAUUACUAAUAAUGUACUGACACUGAUGGACGAAAGCGUGGGGAGCGAACAGGAUUAGAUACCCUGGUAGUCC
rnacentral:rRNA from 1 species